GACGAACGCUGGCGGCGUGCUUAACACAUGCAAGUCGAACGGUGAAGCGAGUGCUUGCACUCGUGGAUCAGUGGCGAACGGGUGAGUAACACGUGAGUAACCUGCCCAUCACUCUGGGAUAAGCACUGGAAACGGUGUCUAAUAAUGGAUACGACCAACCCUUGCAUGGGGUGUUGGUGGAAAGAUUUAUCGGUGAUGGAUGGACUCGCGGCCUAUCAGCUUGUUGGCGGGGUAAUGGCCCACCAAGGCGACGACGGGUAGCCGGCCUGAGAGGGUGACCGGCCACACUGGGACUGAGACACGGCCCAGACUCCUACGGGAGGCAGCAGUGGGGAAUAUUGCACAAUGGGCGAAAGCCUGAUGCAGCGACGCCGCGUGAGGGAUGACGGCCUUCGGGUUGUAAACCUCUUUCAGCAGGGAAGAAGCGAAAGUGACGGUACCUGCAGAAGAAGCACCGGCUAACUACGUG
rnacentral:rRNA from 1 species